rnacentral:rRNA from 1 species
CRUCGAGCUACACAUGCAGUCGAACGGACCCUUCGGGGUUAGUGGCGGACGGGUGAGUAACGCGUGAGAACCUACCUUCUGGAUGGGGAUAACAGUUGGAAACGACUGCUAAUACCCAAUGUGCCGAGAGGUGAAAGAUUUAUUGCCAGAAGAUGGGCUCGCGUCUGAUUAGCUAGUUGGUGGUGUAAGGGACUACCAAGGCGACGAUCAGUAGCUGGUCUGAGAGGAUGAGCAGCCACACUGGGACUGAGACACGGCCCAGACUCCUACGGGAGGCAGCAGUGGGGAAUUUUCCGCAAUGGGCGAAAGCCUGACGGAGCAAUACCGCGUGAGGGAGGAAGGUCUUUGGAUUGUAAACCUCUUUUCUAGGGGAAGAAGUUCUGACGGUACCCUAGGAAUAAGCAUCGGCUAACUCCGUGCCAGCAGCCGCGGUAAUACGGAGGAUGCAAGCGUUAUCCGGAAUUAUUGGGCGUAAAGCGUCCGUAGGUGGUGAUACAAGUCUGCCGUCAAAGAGUGGGGCUUAACCCCAUAAAGGCGGUGGAAACUGUGUGACUAGAGUUCGGUAGGGGUGGCGGGAAUUCCCAGUGUGKCGGU